CAGAGCGAAGAGCGGAGCAAUCAGCAGGCAGCACGGAUCGAACCGGAAUCAUCGAUCGGCCACUGCUACAAACAAACACAAAGAGCGGGAACCGGAGAGUUAUUGGAGAGUUAUUGGAGAGUUACCGGCAGCAUGGAGACACCGCGGUGACGACAGCAGCAGGAUGUCGGUGAUGCUGCAGCUCCCCUGGUGGUGACGGCUCAGGUGGACCUGGUUCUGGUUCUGGUUUCCCUGCUGGCCCUCUGGACCAGACUGAGCCAUCUGAGCUACCCCAAUGCUGUGGUGUUCGAUGAGGUCUACUACGGACAGUUCGUGUCUCUCUACAUGAAGAGGGUGUUCUUCAUCGAUGACAGCGGGCCACCGCUCGGUCACAUGAUCUUGGCGCUGGGAGCCUACCUGGGAGGGUUCGAUGGGAACUUUGUGUGGAACAGAAUCGGAGCAGAGUAUCCCAGCAGCGUCAGUGUGUGGAGUCUACGGCUUCUACCGGCUCUGUGUGGAGCUCUCUCUGUUCCCCUGGUUUACCUGCUGACUCUGGAGCUGAGGUUCUCUCACCUGUCGGCUCUGGGAGCUGCUGUUCUGCUGCUGCUGGAGAACUCUCUGAUCGUCCAAUCACGGUUCAUGUUACUGGAGUCAGUUCUUAUCUUCUUGGUUCUGCUGGCGUUCUUCUCGUACCUGCGUUUCCACAACGCCCCCACCAGCUCCUGGUUCCGGUGGUUCUGGCUCCUCCUCUCAGGCGUCUCCUGUGCUGCAGCCAUUGGGGUGAAGUACAUGGGCCUGUUCUCCUACCUGCUGCUGCUGGGCGUGGCCUUUCUGCACACCUGGAACCUGAUUGGAGAUCGAUCUGUCAGUCAUCUGAAUGUGUGUGUGCAGUGUGUGUGUAGAGUUGUGUAUCUGCUGGUGGUUCCUGUUCUGCUCUAUGUGUUCUGGUUCUACCUCCACCUGAGCCUCCUGAACCGCAGCGGACCACAUGACCAGCUGAUGAGCUCCGCCUUCCAGGCCAGUCUGCAGGGCGGUCUCUCCAGGAUCACUCAGGGUCAGCCUCUGGAAGUCGCUUAUGGCAGUCAGGUGACUUUACGAAGCUCCGCCUCCCAGCCAAUCCCCUGCUGGCUUCACUCACACAAGGCAAACUACCCAGUCAGGUAUGAAAAUGGGCGGGGCAGCUCACACCAGCAGCAGGUCACCUGUUACCCCUUUAAGGACGUCAACAACUGGUGGAUUAUCAAACAUCCUGGCAGACAGGAGCUAGUGGUGGACACGCCUCCUCGACCUGUCCGUCAUGGUGAUGUCAUCCAGCUGGUUCACGGGAUGACAUCACGCUUCUUGAACAGUCAUGAUGUCGCAGCUCCCAUGAGUCCUCACGCUCAAGAAGUUUCCGGUUACGUGGACUUUAACGUCUCCAUGCCGGCACAGAACCUAUGGAAGGUGGAUGUCUCCAACAGGGAGGCAGAGUCAGAGGUGUGGAAAACGAUCCUGUCUGAGGUCCGAUUGAUCCACGUCAACACCUCCGCUGUUCUAAAGCUGAGCGGUGUGUCUCUCCCUGAUUGGGGUUUCCGUCAGCUGGAGGUCGUAGCAGAGAAGCUGUUCAAAGCUCACAGCAGCAGUUUGGGAUGGAACGUGGAGGAACAUCGAUACGGAACCAGUCAGGAGCAGAGGGAGCGGGAGGCGGAGCUUCACUCUCCGACACACAUCGACGUUGACAGAAAAAUUUCUUUCUGGGCAAAAUUUUUAGAGUUACAGUGGAAGAUGCUGACUGUGAAGCAGGAAGAGUCGGAGCACAAGUACAGCUCCGUCCCCCUGGAGUGGAUCACCAUGGAAACCAACAUCGCAUACUGGCUGCACGCAACUACCAACGCUCAGAUCCACCUGAUUGGUAACCCGGUGUCGUGGGGCGUAGCCAACCUCAACCUGCUGGCCUAUCAGCUGCUGGCAGUCGUGUACCUGCUGAGGAGGAGGCGGGGCUUCAAAGACCUACCUGAUGCUGUGUGGGACCGGUUUGUGUGUCUGGGGUGUGUGUGUGUCGGUGGUUGGUUGGUGAACUUUGUUCCGUUCCUGCUGAUGGAGAAAACUCUGUUCCUGUAUCACUACCUGCCUGCCCUGUGUUACCUGUACCUGCUGAGCCCCGCCCUGCUGGAGCACACACACACACACUUGCUCAGGUACACACACACACACAUGUUUGUUUUUCUAUACCGGUGGGGACUUACCAUUGACUCCCAUUCAUAUCUAACUCCUAACCCUUAUCCUAACCCUAACCCUAACCAUCACCAAAUCAAUGCCUAACCCUAAACAAACGUUUUUGCACUUUUACAUUUUUUAUUAACAACAAUAUGGCCAAGAAAACGGUGUUGCCACCCGUGGGGACCUCAUUUUAGGUCCCCACCGUAAGACGAGUCCCCACCUUUAUAGCAAAUAGUCAGGUCAAAGUCCCCACUGGUAUAGCAGAAACAAGUACACACACACACACACACACACACACACACACCUGCUCAGCAGCGUGACACACCGCCGUGCACUGUGUGUGUGUGUGUGUGCCGUGCUGCUGUCCAUCUUCCUGUCCUACAGGACGUUCUGCCCGCUGACCUACGGCAGCCCGGAGCUGUCGGCCAAUCAGCUGCGAGGACUGAGGUGGAGGGACACCUGGG